rnacentral:rRNA from 1 species
UGGGGAAUAUUGCGCAAUGGGCGAAAGCCUGACGCAGCGACGCCGCGUGAGGGAUGAAGGUUUUCGGAUCGUAAACCUCUGUCAGAAGGGAAGAAACCGCACUGUGCUAAUCAGCAGUGCCUUGACGGUACCUUCAAAGGAAGCACCGGCUAACUCCGUGCCAGCAGCCGCGGUAAUACGGAGGGUGCAAGCGUUAAUCGGAAUUACUGGGCGUAAAGCGCACGUAGGCUGCUUUGUAAGUCAGGGGUGAAAUCCCACGGCUCAACCGUGGAACUGCCUUUGAUACUGCUUAGCUUGAAUCCGGGAGAGGGUGGCGGAAUUACAGAUGUAGGAGUGAAAUCCGUAGAUAUCUGGAGGAACAUCAGUGGCGAAGGCGGCCACCUGGACCGGUAUUGACGCUGAGGUGCGAAAGCGUGGGGAGCAAACAGG